rnacentral:rRNA from 1 species
UACGAAGGGGGCUAGCGUUGUUCGGAAUUACUGGGCGUAAAGCGUGCGUAGGCGGCUUUUUAAGUCAGGGGUGAAAUCCCGGGGCUCAACCCCGGAACUGCCUUUGAAACUGGAGAGCUAGAAUCUUGGAGAGGCGAGUGGAAUUCCGAGUGUAGAGGUGAAAUUCGUAGAUAUUCGGAAGAACACCAGUGGCGAAGGCGACUCGCUGGACAAGUAUUGACGCUGAGGUGCGAAAGCGUGGGGAGCAAACAGGG